CACAGAUAUCUUAUUUUACACAGAUGUCAAAGUACAUAAUUAGUUGUUCUUUUCUUUGAAAUACUGGAGCUGUUCCCCUAAGGUUUCCAUGUGUUUAUCUUUGAAAUUAAAUCAGCAAUUGGCUAUAUCCGUUGGAAACAUGUGCAUUCUUAUCUUAUAUACAUUGAGCCAAAACGUAUAUCAUUUUCUUAUAUUUGCAUGCAUUUUGGAGAUACUUUGCUAUUGCCGGUUGGCAAAAUAUCAGUUCGCGUUCAUAUGAUUCUAAAAAUAUUAAAUUGUGUCAGAGGUACAUUUACAAAGAAUAAUUGAAAAAAGCUUAUUCCGGUGUACAUAAGGUCAGUUUGUAUGCUGGUUUUCAAUGUGACUUUUCGUCAAGUCUAAUGCACAAAAACUUGCGACUUAAUCAUGUUCCAGUAGUACGAGGCCGGUGUUAUAUGUGAAAGGGGAGGUGUCUUUAAGCUAACCAUGUAAAACAGUCUUAUUAUUUUUCUUCAAAAUUAAAUAGUUUUGAUUGGUCUUUGUAGGGAUAUCUCUAGCUUUUUUAAUGACAUUUCAAUAACCAUUGACUAUAAUCAAAUUUGAUAUAUAAUGUUUUACUAGUGCGAUAAUUGAGACUUAGAUGUUAAAAAAAAUUAUCUGUGCCGAAUUUUCCUGAAAUCAUCUGUUAAAAAGUAAGUUCUUUCGAGAAUAACCCCACCGAUGUUGGUCUCUCAAUUAGCAUUUGACUUUUGACGUUAUUAGAAACAUGUUUUUCACUGCUUGCAAUAUAGUAGAAUUCAAAACUGAUAACAUGGUCUUGAUCUUUCAUCCUCAAAGUGUCAGACCACCAAUUAAAAAUCGAAAUUUGCAAUUAUUAGAGCUUUCGAAAUAUUUUACCUUAAAUUUAACUUUAUAGAAACCGGGUAUAUCCUGAAUUGUACAUGUAUGACAUUUUU
rnacentral:lncRNA from 1 species